UUGGAGGGCAAGUCUGGUGCCAGCAGCCGCGGUAAUUCCAGCUCCAAUAGCGUAUAUUAAAGUUGUUGCAGUUAAAAAGCUCGUAGUUGAAUUUCGGGGUCAGUAGGUUGGUCAUGCCUCUGGUAUGUACUGGUCUCACUGAUUCCUCCUUCCUGAUGAUCCGUAAUGCCAUUUAUUUGGUGUUGCGGGGAAUUUGGACUGUUACUUUGAAAAAAUUAGAGUGUUUAAAGCAAGCUAACGCUUGAAUACAUUAGCAUGGAAUAAUGAAAUAGGACGUUCGAUCCUAUUUUGUUGGUUUCUAGGAUUGACGUAAUGAUUAAUAGGGAUAGUUGGGGGCAUUAGUAUUCAAUUGUCAGAGGUGAAAUUCUUGGACUUAUUGAAGACUAACUACUGCGAAAGCAUUUGCCAAGGAUGUUUUCACUAAUCAAGAACGAAAGUUAGGGGAUCGAAGACGAUCAGAUACCGUCGUAGUCUUAACCAUAAACUAUGCCGACUAGGGAUCGGAUGAUGUUAAUUUUUUAAUGACUCAUUCGGCGCCUUACGGGAAAC
rnacentral:rRNA from 1 species